UACAGAGGGUGCAAACGUUGCUCGGAAUCAUUGGGCGUAAAGCGCACGUAGGCGGCCUAGCAAGUAGGGAGUGAAAGCCCUCGGCUUAACCGAGGAAGUGCUUUCUAAACUACUAGGCUUGAAUACUGGAGAGGGUCGCGGAAUUCCCGGUGUAGAGGUGAAAUGCGUAGAUAUCUGGAGGAACACCGGUGGCGAAGGCGGCGUUCUGGACUGCAACUGACACUGAAAAACGAAAGCCAGGGGAGCAAACGGG
rnacentral:rRNA from 1 species